GGAUCAACAAAGUGAUUGGCAGUUCCCAAUUGAUAUCAUGUUUAACAAAUUAUUGUUGCCCAAUGAUGACAGCCAUGCUACUGCCUAUUCAGUUUACAACUUAGUUCUGAAGAUG
rnacentral:sRNA from 1 species